CUCCUAGACCAAGAUGGCGGCGGGGGCGGGCCCCGGAGCGCGCGGGAGUAGGACAGGCCUGGCGGGAGAGGCUCGAGCCAAUCCAACAGGCAGCGGCGCGCCGGAGUCAUCGAUCGCCGCCCUUCCCCGCCUGCUGCCCAGCCCUGCCCCUCAGGUCACCUUACAGGUGGGGGUGUUUUGGCCCGUAUUUAACCCGCGAGGGACUUGAAAUUCAAAAUAUAUCAAUGGCAGUCUCAUUAUCCUUUGGUAAUUCUGGAUUUUCCGCCAAGAUUGUUUUAAAAACUCGUUUGGCAGUAUUCCAGAUGAACUUUUAUUACUUCUUCAAAAUCCUAUCCAAGGGCUUCCCUGGUGGCGCAGUGGUUGAGAAUCUGCCUGCCAAUGCAGGGGACACGGGUUCGAGCCCUGGUCUGGGAAGAUCCCACAUGCCGCGGAGCAACUGGGCCCGUGAGCCACAAUUACUGAGCCUGCGCGUCUGGAGCCUGUGCUCCGCAACAAGAGAGGCCGCGAUAGUGAGAGGCCCGCGCACCGCGAUGAAGAGUGGCCCCCGCUUGCCGCAACUAGAGAAAGCCCUCGCACAGAAACGAAGACCCAACGCAGCCAAAAAUAAAUAAAUAAAUAAAUUAAAAAAAAAAAAAAAAAAAAAAUCCUAUCCAAAUGCCAUCUCUUGUGAAAUGAUCUUUGCUUCUUUUGAGCAGUUAAUUUCUUGAAUCAUUUCUACUUCCCUGUUCCCAUAGUGCACGGAACACAUUUCUACCAUGCAUAGUAUUGUAUCCUUUUCAUUUCUGUCUCCUCCAUGUAGACUGUGAUGGGUCUGAAUGUUUUAAGGACUUUUAAUACAUAAUACCAGCUUGCUCUCUAGAAAGGUUUGCACUAAUAAACACUCCACCAUCAGUAUGAGUACCAUUUUUCUUCCACUCCAACAAACACUAGAUAGAAUAAUUUUUUAAAUUUUUGCUUAUUUGGUAGACCAAAAUUGGCAUCUCAUUAUUAUUCAAACUUACAUCACAUUGUGGUGAAACAUUGAACAAUACGUUUUGUGUAAUAAUGGCUAUUUGUGUUUUGAACUAGUCAUAUUUUGAGGUUGAUUCAAUUCUGUUAUUUUAUUAUUAAGCAUCCCACCCACUCCAACCUCUUACCCCAUUCUGUUUAGCACUCCUGGGGAUUAUAAGUACUUAUUUUGCAAAACAUCGCACUAUGGUGAUCUGAUUAAGUUACUUCAUGGGAAGGUACUAUUAAGGCCAUAACAUUUUCCUGGAAAACAGCAGUGCUGACUUAAUUCUUAGUGCUUAUCUCUGCCCAGUCACACUACUUCUGAAUUACACAUCACUACCAGUAAGUCCAAUAAAAAUUUAUUCCAAAUGACGUAUCACUAAU